rnacentral:rRNA from 1 species
GAUGAACGCUGGCGGCGUGCUUAACACAUGCAAGUCGAACGAUGAAGCCCAGCUUGCUGGGUGGAUUAGUGGCGAACGGGUGAGUAACACGUGAGUAACCUGCCCUUAACUCUGGGAUAAGCCUGGGAAACUGGGUCUAAUACCGGAUAGGAGCGCCUACCGCAUGGUGGGUGUUGGAAAGAUUUAUCGGUUUUGGAUGGACUCGCGGCCUAUCAGCUUGUUGGUGAGGUAAUGGCUCACCAAGGCGACGACGGGUAGCCGGCCUGAGAGGGUGACCGGCCACACUGGGACUGAGACACGGCCCAGACUCCUCCGGGAGGCAGCAGUGGGGAAUAUUGCACAAUGGGCGAAAGCCUGAUGCAGCGACGCCGCGUGAGGGAUGACGGCCUUCGGGUUGUAAACCUCUUUCAGUAGGGAAGAAGCGAAAGUGACGGUACCUGCAGAAGAAGCACCGGCUAACUACGUG